CUACGGGGCGCUGCAGUGAGGAAUAUUGCGCAAUGGACGAAAGUCUGACGCAGCCAUGCCGCGUGCAGGAUGACGGCGCUAUGCGUUGUAAACUGCUUUUAUAGGCCAAGAAACCUUCGGACGUGUCCGAAGCUGACGGUAGCAUAUGAAUAAGCACCGGCUAACUCCGUGCCAGCGGCCGCGGUAAUACGGAGGGUGCAAGCGUUAUCCGGGUUUAUUGGGUUUAAAGGGUCCGUAGGCGGAUCAUUAAGUCAGUGUUGAAAGCCGGCAGCUCAACUGUCGAACUGCCAUUGAUACUGGUGAUCUUGAAUACGGUUGAAGUUGGCGGAAUAGGUCAUGUAGCGGUGAAAUGCUUAGAUAUGACCUAGAACACCGAUUGCGAAGGCAGCCAACUAAGCCGUUAUUGACGCUGAGGGACGAAAGCGUGGGGAGCGAACAGGAUUAGAUACCCCCGUAGUC
rnacentral:rRNA from 1 species